UCCCUGCGUGUCGUCGGUGGUCGGUUUUUUUCUCCGCUCGAAACCUUUUUUUGAGUUUCGCUAAAUUUCAUUGUGAAAUUACGGGAAAGUAGUGUUUUAUUACGGAAUACCGUACAUAACAUUGUACGCAACGGUUUGUGAUUCAAGUGCAGCACAUCCGGCGGUGUUUGGUUGGCCAAAAUGGAGCUCCUCUACAUGACCCAUCGCAAGUCGAACAGCGUCUCUUUCGUCGAAACUCAGCAAAACUUUGAGUUCUUCUCGACGACGUCGACGUGCAACGUGCUGGCCUUUACGACGACGAACGAGCUGACGGAACCGUCGCCGAUCCAGGGCUGGGGCUUCCACAUUUACGUGGCGGAUUUGAACACGCCGUGGUUCCCGUACCGGGUCACGACCAGCAAGUAUCCGGUGUCGGUGCUGGAGUGGGACGUGUUGGGGCGGUUUUUGCUGGUGGGCGAUCGGAAUGGGAAUGUGCAGCUGUUUGCGCAGAAGGGAACGCUGUCGGAGUGGAAGGCGGUUUACAGCGUGCGGUUCCCGGGGGAGAAUAUCAUUGCGGCGGCUUUCUUUCAUAAUGGGCGGAAGAUUAGCCUGCAGAUGGACAAGAAGGAGCACUCGUUGUACGUGGAGAAGUUUCCGAAGGGGAAGUUUAGCGCCAGUGUGCGGCAGUUUGGCGGAGUUCCGGUGGAGGGGGUUGUGAUUGUUUCGGCGACGGGGAUGUUGGGGGCGUUUGCGAUUCCGGCGGAUUCGAACGUGAAUAUAAUGAAGCAGCAGGAGCCGAUGGUGUUGACGCCGGUGACGGAGAGUUUGGGCAUUACGAGGAACUUUUACACGACGGCGGACAUUUGCUACGGGAAGAGUGGCCACUUUAUGAUAGCGGCUGGGAAUGGGGAUACAAAGUCGGCGAAUUCGGGCAUGAUUCAGUGCUUUAGGGUUGCGGUGACGGUGAAGAAGGGGUGUGAAACGCUGGAGAUUGGUAGUUCUGCACUUCCGAGCUUUUUCCUGGCGGAAGGUUUGGGGAAGGAUCUGAAAGAGCUGCGAGUGGCGCACAUCAAGUGGGUUUCCAAUGAGGACGCUGAUUCGUUGAUUGUGGCGUCGAAUUAUGCUGGAGGUGGGAGUUUCAUUGAGCAGUGGGAACUGACGGAGGAAUCGAUGCCGAUUCACAAGCUGUUCCAGAGCAGCAAGAACGAGUCGUUCAAGACGAUUUUGUGGACGAGCAAAACCAAGUACGUGUACAACUCGAAGGUGGUCAAGGUUUGCUCGACGAGGUUGAACUUUAUGAACUGUUCGUUCAUCUAUCUGGCCAUGAGCGACAACAGCAUCCACUGUCUGCAGCGGGACACGUUCAAGAGGUUGACCUGCACGAACAUUAUUUCGAUUCGCGACCCGAACGAUCAUGCGAGCAAGCAAAUUCGACUUGGCGUCAAGAUCGGAGCUAUAAACGUGUCGUAUUUGGGUCAUUUGUUUGUGGCGCUCGACACAACGGGUCAGAUCUACACGUACCGGUGCAACUUUAUGAUCCAGGACCAGCUGGGAACGCCGGCGUUAAUCGUUCAAACGGUAAACUUGCUCGAGUUCUGCCUGGUCACCGGCUUCGACUGUUUGGAGAUUCUGCUCACGCUCAAGCCGCAAAUCCUGGACAACAUCCUGGAGCGCCUCACGGACAAUUUUAACCGGCAACCGCCCAACGUUCAGCAGUAUUACUACGUGAACUUCCUCACGAUGAAGAUCGCCCUGUACCGACUUUCGAUCACGGGUCAGCAAAAGGCGCACGACCUGUCCAAUCUGCUCAUUCUGCACUCGAUCUUGAUCGCCUUCAAGAGCUUGCUCCGCCCGUCGGAUCUGACCUCACACGACAAGGGACCAGCGGAGAACCUCGCCAUGGUCCUCUCGGAGUCGGUGCAGGACGUCGACAAGGUGCUCCUCAAUCUUGAGGCCAAAGACUUCACCAUGGAGCGUCCAACGCUACAGAGCCUUCAGCAGCUGAUCCAGUGGGUGGCCGACCUGGCGCUCAACAUCCUGGCCAAACUGCCCGAAAGUCGCAGCUUCAUGUCCAGCAAGCAGGGCUACGACAUCAGCAAGGACAUUGUCGCACUCAACAGCAUCCGCGAACUGCUGGUCAUGAUUCGCAUCUGGGGACUGCUCAAUCCACAAUGCCUACCGGUGUUCUCCCGCUCAACCGACAACCUGGACAUCCUCGUCACACUGUUCCGUCUGCUCACCAAACUCUCCCUCAACCCCAACGAGCCAGACGACCUCCUACUCGACGAGUGCUGCCUCCUCCCCAACCAGGUCCUCAUCCCCCAGCUCCAGUUCGUGCCCUCACGAACCAUGAUCGCUUCCCCGCUACUCCCGCACGUCAGCCUGCCGGUAAUCUGCGAUUACGGCGUCGAGAACGAAACGCUCAAAUUCUGCCCGGAAAUUCCGAUCGUCGAGGGUGGCCUCUCGAACGACAACGUGAUCGACUCGGUGAUGUACCUGCAGCUGGGCCGGAAGCCACCCUCGCUGCGCCGCUGCAGCCGGUGCGGAUCGUGCAGCAGUCCGGUCAGCGUGGCGAAAACACCCGCCAUGAAGGCCUGGGAGCAGCGCUGGAUCGACAAGUGUCGAUGCAACGGUUUUUGGAGACUGGAGCUAGCGUAAUUGAUUGCUCAUCGCGCGAACAAACUACAAAAAACAAGGGAUUUCAGGUGAGAUUUCACUGCGAGAAGUGAAUUGUUGAAAAAAGUUAUCCCUACUUCUUUCACGUUAAUCAUCAUCUCAGCCACAAUUGGAAACGGUUCGCGAGCGAGCGCGUGGAUUUAUAUAUUUUUUAUACUGGAAUAGAAGUGUAUGUGUUUUUUUUUUGUUUCUUGUAUGUGUAGAAUAUAUAAUAUAUAUUAUCAGUAUAAUAUUAUAUUUAAUAAAAAGUUUUUAAACUCGUA